rnacentral:rRNA from 1 species
AUGUGAUCGUCUCUCGCAUAUCAAUAAGCGGAGGAAAAGAAACUAACAAGGAUUCCCCUAGUAACGGCGAGUGAAGCGGGAAGAGCUCAAAUUUGAAAUCUUAAAGGGUUUCCCUUUACGAAUUGUAGUUUAAAGAAGUGUUUUCUGUUGAGGUUUUGGUAAAAGUUCUUUGGAAUAGGACAUCAUAGAGGGUGAGAAUCCCGUAUUUGACCUUUACUUUCAACUUUGUGAUACACUUUCAAAGAGUCGGAUUGUUUGGGAAUGCAGUCCAAAAUGGGUGGUAAAUUUCAUCUAAAGCUAAAUAUUGGCGAGAGACCGAUAGCGAACAAGUACCGUGAGGGAAAGAUGAAAAGAACUUUGAAAAGAGAGUUAAACAGUACGUGAAAUUGUCAAAAGGGAAGCGUUUGACACCAGUGUUGUUUUUCUGAAAAUCAAUUAAAGAACUGUUUAUGCUAAGCUGUUUAGACUUUAUCAGCUAUCUGUUUAGUUUUGAGCUUUUCUUUAAUGCACUUUUCAGUUAACAAGUCAACAUCAAUUUCUUUUGCUGUAAAAAAGCUUGAGGAAGGUGGCUUGAGAUUCGUCUUAAGUGUUUAUAGCCUCUUGCCUAUGCAGUCGGAGAGAUUGAGGUCUGCAGCGUAGAUCCUUCGGGGCUAAAUGCAUUUGUGCUAAGUUAUAGCAUUUUAUAGGCAACUUGUUGACUAUGAUUUGUCUUGUAGCUUACUCGCUUAUGUUAUUUUACCUACGCUUAGGAUGUUGAGUCGUAGAGCACGCAG